UACGUAGGUGGCAAGCGUUAUCCGGAUUUACUGGGUGUAAAGGGCGUGUAGGCGGGACUGCAAGUCAGAUGUGAAAACCACGGGCUCAACCUGUGGCCUGCAUUUGAAACUGUAGUUCUUGAGUACUGGAGAGGCAGACGGAAUUCCUAGUGUAGCGGUGAAAUGCGUAGGUAUUAGGAGGAACACCAGUGGCGAAGGCGGUCUGCUGGACAGCAACUGACGCUGAGGCGCGAAAGCGUGGGGAGCAAACAGG
rnacentral:rRNA from 1 species